GACAGGAACUUCCGCCACGGAGACGGAGCAUUUCCAUUGUACGAGCUGUUCUGAAAGAGUCCCGCGAUUGUUGAGCUACAGUAUCUUAAGUGCGUGGUUUCUUCAAAGUUGUAACAUUAGACGUAGCCGAUUGUCGUCUUUUAGCUUAAAAUCGUAUGAGAUUGUUGUCGCAUACGAAUCGUCCGGAGGGUAACGGGCUGUUACUGGGAAGAAGUGCGACGGUCUCACCAUAGGAAUUUGUUAGCGGCAGCUCAGCCACCUUGCGGUCCGGCUAACACCGUGGCUAGGUAACGUUAGCUGCAGCUCUGUUGUGGCGUGAAUCUGACGGAAAUCUGUAAGAAUAUGUCCUCAACCGGAGGCUGUUACGCUUCGACAUAAGGGACUAGAGUGCACAAAUAAACAACAAACUGUUAGUCCUCGAACUAGCCACUUAGCCAAGCUAACUAGCUAGCUAACGUUAACGCUACGGGAUUGUCUUUGACAAAAGGGCAACCCGUCAACAAGAGACUUUGUAGCCAAACUAACGCGUUUUCCCCUAUUUUUUAAUUUAUUGAGCUUUUGCACGAAGAGCAUUACAACAGCACAGGAUGAAUGGAUUUAGCACUGAGGAAGACAGCCACGAUGGACCUCCGGCUCCGCCGUUUUAUGGACAGAGCUGCUGUCUGAUCGAGGACGGAGAGCGCUGCGGCCGGUCAGCUGGAAACGCCUCCUUCAGCAAGAGGAUCCAGAAGAGCAUAUCACAAAAGAAGCUCAAGCUUGACAUUGACAAGAGCGUGAGACACCUCUACAUCUGCGACUUCCAUAAGAACUUCAUCCAGAGCGUCCGCAACAAGAGGAAGAGGAAGACCAGUGACGAUGGAGGGGAAUCCCCGGAUCACGACGUGGAGGUGCCCGAGGUGGACCUGUUCCAGCUGCAAGUGAACACGUUGAGACGCUACAAGCGACACUACAAGCUGCAGACCCGGCCUGGACUCAACAAGGCCCAGCUGGCAGAGGUGGACUCCAUGCAGCUGGCUCGGCCCUCGUCCGUACAAAUGCUUCCUGUAUGCAGCGCUCUCUGACGGCUUGGAUGUGACUCGGCUGGCGCGCACAGUGGGAAUGAAAGAAAACUGGCUACGGUGAGUCGUCACUUCAGGAAUAUCCCGGUGAACGAGAAGGAGACGCUGACCUACUUUAUUUACAUGGUGAAGAGCAGCAAGAGCCGCUUGGACCAGAAAGGCGACGGCGGGAAACCGCUGGACUAAACAUCGCAACACAAAGCACAGUAGCUACAACGAAACCAUCAAUAAUCCACAGCUAUUUCAAAAACCCGGACACCACUAACGGCAACAACAACUGCAACCCUGCACCGUCCUCUCCUCUGUAAAGACAGACUCUUGUCGUCCUCAGAGGACAUCUCACUGAAUUGGAGGAGAAUUCAGGGUGGGAUGAGAUAUCUCUUGCUUAUUAUGCCCUUUUCAUAUAAAAAUUGUCUCUGCGCAUGUUGUCACAAUAGUCAUUUCCUCUCCCUCUUCUCCGAAAAAAGCCAGACUGAGGUCCCGGGACUCACUCCACAGGGUUUUUAUGUUGUCAUGCUGUAAUGUAAUCUGUCAAUAUGUACAAAAGAACAGCGUCCAAUCUUAAGUAAGUUGGUUGACUGCAAAGUACAAUAUAGCUGCCUUAAGAGUAAAAAAAACGAAACGUGUUUCUGUAAAUUUGGGGGAAUCUUUCUUUGCCGAGUAGACUGUUAACACUUUCACAGAGAGGAAUGCUUGUGCCAAACAGAAACGUUUGUUGGAAUUGAAUGAUGUUGAGUGGGAUUUAUUUUUCUUAAUUUUUUUAAACGUGAAUGAAUGAAUUGUUGGAAAGGGGCUCUGCCUUUGCUGAAGUUACAUCCAGGGAUCAGGGUCAGUUUAACCAGAUCAAGAAUUCUUGAUUCUCAAUAAUGUCUAAAAGAAAGAAGCUGAUCUCAGUCCUACAUUUUAAUCUUUAUUUGCCCUUUUCCAACUGGAUGUGAUGCAUAUGAAGACCGAUGGUGGUGAAUGAUGUAACAUUUAGCUAUGACCCACUCUUCUCCUUAUUGCUAGCUGUUUAAUGUACUUAACAACACAAACAUCACAGGUGUUGGUAGCUUAUUUUUUUUCUUUGUAACCCAGUUUUCUACUAAAUGUUUUAGUUCAGCCUCAAGUUGUAUAAAGUCUAUGUGGAUAUAAUUUAGAAUUGUUUUGUCCCAUCUUUCUUUUCCACCAGAAGUGGAACUUUUGUGUGUGUGAGAGAUAGGGGUCUAAGAGUAAUUAUUUGCACCAUUUUAAUAUUUAAGAGCAGUGUUUAUAUUGGACUGAAGCCUUGAUUUGAUACUUAAAAUACCCAGAUGCAUUUAAAAAAGUGGGUUUUCCCUUUGCCUUUUUAAAUAAUUAAUUACAUGUAUCAACAAAAAAAAGAUAUUGAUGCGUGCCUUCCAUAUUGCAGCAAAAAUCUAAAUGUCAGUAGAAGUUGGCUAAUGAGGUCUUAAAAAAAAAUCUUGGCAAUUAUUAAAUUCAGGUAAUGGAUUCACUGUUUGAUGAAUCGUCAUUUUUUGGAUCGUAUUUGUCAAUAAUAUUGAGCCAAAACUGUUAUGGGGAAAGUAGCCUUUGGCAGGUAGCCACUUGUGUCACCUGUUGCAACAUUUGGUGUGAUCUAAAACUGCUCAAAAACUAAAUUGCAUGUAUAUUCCUAACUCACAGCUAACACAUCUAGACAAUUGACAACUAUAUGGGUUUUUGCAUCUUCCCACAACAACUCUUCUACAUGUCCAAUUAUUUGUUGUUGUUUUCAUUGUGGUGACUACAUUGUACACACAGUUUGGGAUUUCUGUAUGGAUUUUUUAAUCAGUUUGCAUCCUCUGUCACACAUCUUAUUUAAGGUUGUUCACCAACUGAGUUGUCCUUUCAACAAAGGUUUAUAUUUUUAUUUCGGUGUCUGUUAUAUUUUCAGUUCUGCUUGUAGGUUUUAGUGUCAUGUAGAUAACACCCAACUUUAACAUAUAGGCCAUGCCACAUUAACCUUACUGUUGUGUUAGAAAAAAUCAUAUUUAAAUAUGGCUGCUUAUUGCUCCUUAUAAUAAUAAAUGUAUUGUACAGAUAGAAACAA